rnacentral:rRNA from 1 species
GCUUGCUGGGGGGAUUAGUGGCGAACGGGUGAGUAACACGUGAGUAACCUGCCCUUGACUCUGGGAUAAGCCUGGGAAACUGGGUCUAAUACCGGAUAUGACUCCUCAUCGCAUGGUGGGGGGUGGAAAGCUUUUGUGGUUUUGGAUGGACUCGCGGCCUAUCAGCUUGUUGGUGGGGUAAUGGCCUACCAAGGCGACGACGGGUAGCCGGCCUGAGAGGGUGACCGGCCACACUGGGACUGACACACGGCCCAGACUCCUACGGGAGGCAGCAGUGGGGAAUAUUGCACAAUGGGCGGAAGCCUGAUGCAGCGACGCCGCGUGAGGGAUGACGGCCUUCGGGUUGUAAACCUCUUUCAGUAGGGAAGAAGCCGCGAGGUGACGGUACCUGCAGAAGAAGCGCCGGCUAACUACGUGCCAGCAGCCGCGGUAAUACGUAGGGCGCAAGCGUUAUCCGGAAUUAUUGGGCGUAAAGAGCUCGUAGGCGGUUUGUCGCGUCUGCUGUGAAAGACCGGGGCUC